rfam:Steinernema glaseri strain NC unplaced genomic scaffold GLAS_5254, whole genome shotgun sequence.
CCAACGGCCCUCUUUAGGGCCACAACUAUUCAAUAAAACUAUCUGU